rnacentral:rRNA from 2 species
GACUCGUCACACUAUCAUUAACUGAAUCCAUAGGUUAAUGAGGCGAACCGGGGGAACUGAAACAUCUAAGUACCCCGAGGAAAAGAAAUCAACCGAGAUUCCCCCAGUAGCGGCGAGCGAACGGGGAGGAGCCCAGAGCCUGAAUCAGCAUGUGUGUUAGUGGAAGCGUCUGGAAAGGCGCGCGAUACAGGGUGACAGCCCCGUACACAAAAGCGCAUGUGCUGUGAGCUCGAUGAGUAGGGCGGGACACGUGGUAUCCUGUCUGAAUAUGGGGGGACCAUCCUCCAAGGCUAAAUACUCCUGACUGACCGAUAGUGAACCAGUACCGUGAGGGAAAGGCGAAAAGAACCCCGGCGAGGGGAGUGAAAAAGAACCUGAAACCGUGUACGUACAAGCAGUGGGAGCACAGGUUUACCUGUGUGACUGCGUACCUUUUGUAUAAUGGGUCAGCGACUUAUAUUCUGUAGCAAGGUUAACCG